rnacentral:rRNA from 1 species
AUUUGUCUGGUUAAUUCCGAUAACGAACGAGACCUUAACCUGCUAACUAGAUUCGAGCAUCUUAUGAUCGAUAUCUUCUUAGAGGGACUAUGUAACAUAAAUACAUGGAAGUUUGAGGCAAUAACAGGUCAGUGAUGCCCUUAUAUGUCCUGGGCUGCACGCGUGCUACACUGAUGCAUACAACAAGUGCCUAGCCAGACAUGGUAUGGCAAUCUCGAAUAUGCAUCGUGAUGGGGAUAGAUCUUUGCAAUUAUAGAUCUUGAACGAGGAAUUCCUAGUAAGUGCAAGUCAUCAUCUUGCAUUGACUAUGUCCCUGCCCUUUGUACACACCGCCCGUCGCUCCUACCGAUACCGGGUGAUCCGGUGAACCUUUUGGACUCCGUAUGGGGGAAGAUAAGUAAACCAUAUCACCUAGAGGAAGGAGAAGUCGUAACAAGGUUUCCGUAGGUGAACCUGCRGAAGGAUCA